UCCCCUUCAUCCGCAACGGAAGCUGCCUUCCUCCUCGCCGCUCUCCCCACCCGCUCGCCAUGCUGCUCCACCUCGUCACCUCCUCCUCACCCCUAACCCCGGCGCGCCCAUCGCCACGUCGGCCGUGCGUCGCAGCGGCGGCAGCAACAGUGAGGUGCGCGGCCUCCUCCUCAGCCCCGUCGCCGCCGUCGUCGUCGGCGUCAUCGGCGGGGCAGCAGGUGGCGAAGGUGCACAGCUACGGGACGGUGGACUACGAGCGGCGUGCGCCACUGCUGUGGGGCACCCUUUACCGUCGCAUCGCGGUGGGGCACGGCGGGCGACCCGUGGAGCGCACGCUGGGGGCCUGGGACGAGGGCGAGCGCCGCCUCGGCAAGUGGGAGCUCUGCUGCAUCGCCAAGGAGCUCCGCAAUUUCCGGAGGUUCAACCUUGCGCUCCAGGUUUAUGAUUGGAUGACACAGAGAGAGAUAUCCGCUCUCAUCAAGUGAUAUGGCAAUCCAGUUGGAUCUGAUUGCUAAGUACGCGGUGUUUCACAUGCUGAAAGAUACUUUGAGGAGCUCCCUGAUGCUCUGAAGGACAAGCGGACAUAUGGUUCCCUUCACGAUAUGAUCUGUCGUUUAGAAAAGUGAAUUCAUCAGAUGGUCCAGCACUUAGAAGGUUUCAUGCUUAAGUAUUUCAAUGCAGAAGCAAGAUUUGAAGUGUAUACCAGAUGGUUCGGUGAUGGAAAGCUGGGCAUGUCGGACUAAUUUUUUCAGAGAUGUUGCAAAUCGUGUCUGGAGGUUUACAGAGCAGGAAGAGAUGUACACAAUGGAUGGUCCGGUGCUUAUGCUGAGGGUGACAUCGGAUCAUCCGAUGUUCAUGUUUUCUGUGUGAUGUGUUUCAAUAGAGAUUUUGAUGAUGGCUAACUGGACUUUAUGCUUAACUAUGGAGUUGGAGAUAUGUGUUUGCUUGUCUUAUGGAGUGCAGGUGAUGGAUGAAACUUGACGAUCGAUGGUGGGAUGAUCGAGGCUAAACGACGUGCUUGGUGCCAGACGAUCAAGGAGGUCAGACGGAGUCAAGAGUGAUCCUAACUGUACACAUGGAAAGCAGGCAAAUCAUGAAAAGACGGACGAAGACGGUUUGUUGAUAAAGUCAAGUGAAAGUGAUGCCCGUGCAAGUGACAAGGCGGGCCGAGGGAUUAGGAGCGGGAGAGACUUGCUGGCGGUUAAGAUUGCAAGAUGGAUACACGUGUCGACAUAGUGAGGCUUGCUUAAGGUGUAAGCAAGUGGUGGUGAUUCAUGCUUUGAGAAGCGUGCAAUGUGGUUUCGUGGUUUGGCCUCAAAAUUGUGGGAAGGAGGAGUGCAUGUGCCAUCAUCACGAAGUUUGCGUCAAGACGAAGCUAAGUCAUAAAGGCGCCACGAUCGUAUGGUAAACGAGAAAAAAUGGAUGAAAAUAUCCUUGGUGGUAAGUAGGAGUGUAUUGAAAGAGAGGGGUAUUUUAAAAAUAAUCUAGGAAACUUAGGGGUCAAGGAACCUUAGCUAUAAAUAGAGAGGAGAGCUGGUUGAGCCCUUUGAGCUAGCCAUUUAAGAGUUAUGUGGUAGAAUUUUAGAAGAGAGAUGAGUGCUUAGGCUAUGUAUUAGAUGAGAGUUUUUUAUAUGUAAAAUACCUUAUAAUCUGCCAAAAAUAGGGAUGCUCUUUGCAAGUAAUGAAGUUCAUGUUGCAUCUUAUGCUUAUGUUCCUCUCUUUCUAGUUUUCCUCUAUUGACUCUAUUGUUUCGUUGCGAGUUUUUCAGUUUUCAUUGAUGGCUGAUGGGUUGGUGCUUGGACAGACACGUAAUCUUGUAAUUUCAAUGUAGGAUAAUAUACUCAUUCCUUUUGAACUAUACAUGCUCUUUUUUAUAUCCGUUGUUCUUCAGUGAUAUAUGCAAUUAUCCUCAGUUCAAGAUGUGUUCAUAUUUGUAAAACAAUAGAUGGAUAAUGGUCCUUUCGAUAAAGCCAAUUGAGAUUCAUUUCAUAAUAGAGUGUUCUGUGACAUAUGUGUUGAGGAAAUAGAUGCUGAAAAUAGACCUCUUGGAAUAUUGACUAACAUAGCAUACAAGAACCUUGGUCAGAAGUUCUUUACAAGGACAAGGAAGCGUCAUUCAAGACUGUGAUUAAAAAACUAAUGGGAUACACUUAAGGGUCUAUACACAUUCCGGUUAACCAUCAAUAAAGCUACUGUACUUGGAUGGGAUAUUGCUAAACAAACAAUUGUAGCUGACAACAAUUGGUGGGAAGUUAACAAAGAAUCAUUAUGAAUGGAAGAAGCUUCGAAAUGGUCCACCUAAGUGACUUUCUGAGCUUGAGAGGAUGUUUGAUUAUAGUGAAGUGGAUGGUUCUUCUUCUUGUGUUCCCAGUGAAGGAGUGAAAGGAAAUGAGAACAAUGGUGAUGAUGAGGAAGUUGAGGAGGAAGAUGGAGAAUCUGAGGAUAGCAACAACACUAGAAAGGCUACCAAUCCACUAAAGCGAGGUGGUAGUAACAAUUGUGUUAAUAGCCUGGGAAAGAAGGGAAAGAACCUCAUGGUUAAGAUAAUGAAAGGCAUAUUGGAUAAUACGCAGUCCACUAUAUGAGUUGUUAGUGUCAAAUUAUGGUUUGAAGUCAACUAGAAGUAUGGGUUCUAUUGAAUAUUUAGGCAUGUUUCUAUGGACCAUUGGUGGUCCAUGGUCAUUUGUCUAAGUUGCAAACCAGUUCGAGAGGUCAACCGAAACAAUUAGUAGGAAAUUCCUUGAAGUGUUGGAUAGUGUCGAUCUUCUUGCACGAGAUCUUAUCAAACCAACGGAUCCAAAGUUCAGGACGGUGCAUGCUAGACUUGAAGAUCCUCGGUUUACACCACAUUUCAAUAACCGCAUAGGUGUAAUAGAUGGUACACAUGUAUCUGUUAGUGUGCCUUCAACAAACUUGGUUGCACAUGUUGGACGUCAUGGAUAUGCAACUCAAAAUGUUUUGGCCAUAUGUG